AUUCAUGUGGCUUCUUAACCCUUCGUGGGAUGCGUUUUUUGUUUUAUUUGGUCUUAUUCUCCAGUAAUCAAUGUGGAUUGAUGUUGCAUAGUGAACUUAAAAGGUCAAUGAAGGGCAGUCAAUUUUAUUCAAAAUUUAAGUAAUAAGGUUAUGGGAUGAUCGGGCGUAAAAAGAUAUGAAAAAACCGCUGCUGGAAAACAUUUAAACGAGGUAACAGUUUUCCAGGCUGUUUUCUUACUGAAUAAACGCCAAUUGAGUAAACAACUUUUUGCUUCAAAUGGUGCUUGGUGGGGAUUUGUAAAAAGUGAUGGUGGCAUACAGCAAUUCAAAAUAGGUACGCAUUGUGCAUGU